rnacentral:rRNA from 1 species
CAAGGAAUUUUCCCCAAUGGGCGCAAGCCUGAGGGAGCAACGCCGCGUGCAGGACGACGGCUUUCGGGUUGUAAACUGCUUUUGCGUGGGACGAUAACGACGGUACCACGCGAAUAAGCCCCGGCUCACUCUGUGCCAGCAGCCGCGGUUAUACAGAGGGGGCAAGCGUUGUCCGGACUUACUGGGCGUAAAGCGCACGCAGGUGGUAAGGCAAGUGGGGUGUGAAAGCCGCCAGCUUAACUGGCGGAGGCCAUCCCAAACUGCUUCACUUGAGGCCUGUAAAGGUAUGUGGAAUUGCCGGUGUAGUGGUGAAAUGCGUAGCGAUCGGCAGGAACCCCCAGGGGGAAACCAGCAUACUGGACAGGACAUGACUCUCAGGUGCGACAGCGUGGGGAGCGAACCGGAUUAGAUACCCCCGUAGUCC